UACGGAGGGGGCUAGCGUUAUUCGGAAUUAUUGGGCGUAAAGGGCGCGUAGGCGGCCCGGUAAGUCAAAGGUGAAAUCCCUCGGCUCAACUGAGGAACUGCCUUUGAAACUGUCGGGCUUGAGGCCGGGAGGGGGUAGCGGAAUUCCCAGUGUAGCGGUGAAAUGCGUAGAUAUUGGGAGGAACACCGGUGGCGAAGGCGGCUACCUGGACCGGUUCUGACGCUGAUGCGCGAAAGCUAGGGGAGCAAACGGG
rnacentral:rRNA from 1 species